UACGUAGGGCGCAAGCGUUGUCCGGAAUUAUUGGGCGUAAAGAGCUCGUAGGCGGCCUGUUGCGUCCGCUGUGAAAUCCCGGGGCUCAACCCCGGGCGUGCAGUGGAUACGGGCUGGCUGGAGGCAGGCAGGGGAGAACGGAAUUCCUGGUGUAGCGGUGAAAUGCGCAGAUAUCAGGAGGAACACCGAUGGCGAAGGCAGAUCUCUGGGCCGUUACUGACGCUGAGGAGCGAAAGCGUGGGGAGCGAACAGG
rnacentral:rRNA from 1 species